rnacentral:rRNA from 1 species
CGCCGCGUGUGUGAUGAAGGCUUUCGGGUCGUAAAGCACUGUUGUAUGGGAAGAAAUGCUAAAAUAGGGAAUGAUUUUAGUUUGACGGUACCAUACCAGAAAGGGACGGCUAAAUACGUGCCAGCAGCCGCGGUAAUACGUAUGUCCCGAGCGUUAUCCGGAUUUAUUGGGCGUAAAGCGAGCGCAGACGGUUGAUUAAGUCUGAUGUGAAAGCCCGGAGCUCAACUCCGGAAUGGCAUUGGAAACUGGUUAACUUGAGUGUUGUAGAGGUAAGUGGAACUCCAUGUGUAGCGGUGGAAUGCGUAGAUAUAUGGAAGAACACCAGUGGCGAAGGCGGCUUACUGGACAACAACUGACGUUGAGGCUCGAAAGUGUGGGUAGCAAACAGGAUUAGAUACCCUGGUAGUCCACACCGUAAACGAUGAAUACUAGGUGUUAGGAGGUUUCCGCCUCUUAGUGCCGAAGCUAACGCAUUAAGUAUUCCGCCUGGGGAGUACGACCGCAAGGUUGAAACUCAAAGGAAUUGACGGGGACCCGCACAAGCGGUGGAGCAUGUGGUUUAAUUCGAAGCAACGCGAAGAACCUUACCAGGUCUUGACAUCCUUUGAAGCUUUUAGAGAUAGAAGUGUUCUCUUCGGAGACAAAGUGACAGGUGGUGCAUGGUCGUCGUCAGCUCGUGUCGUGAGAUGUUGGGUUAAGUCCCGCAACGAGCGCAACCCUUAUUGUUAGUUGCCAGCAUUCAGUUGGGCACUCUAGCGAGACUGCCGG